rnacentral:lncRNA from 1 species
UGCUGCCCCCGUAGCCUGAGGAGGGGCCUGGAUGGCGGGUCUGGGCCUCUUACUGGGUUGGACAGGCGCGGUAGGUGCUGGCCUGCAGAGCGGGGCUGAGGGUCGGGAACUCCCCGCUAGCUGAGGGUGGGUGUCGAAGCUCCUUUCUAUGAUCUGCGCCUUUGCUAGGACUGCUGAAUAUGUCUCGAGCUCCAUUACCAGUAAGUGCUGUCUGAUC